rnacentral:sRNA from 1 species
UUUUAAAAUAUAAAUUUAACGGUUUAAAACAUAUUGUGUUUGCGAGAGUUUUAUAACUAGUAAAUUUGGGGUUGCAAUAGGGAUUAGUCGGCGAUGACCAAAAUAAAAUAUAAUCUAUAAUUACAAAUAUAUUCUUGUUUACUUAUAUAUGUAAUUAUAAAGGGAAUUUUAUAAAAUCUACUACUUUUUCUGGAGUUCUUUUACAAUUUCUACAACACAAAGCUUUCUUUUACACAUUGUACCACAUUUCAUUAUCACAUGCACAUUUGUGGACGAAAUUGUCCUAGAUGGUGACAGACUGAUGUGACAGCCUUUUGUUUUUGUCUCCAGAUCUUGUCUCCGAUUAGAAAUUCUCUAUUGCGUCUACGCCUUGUCUUCGAUUUUAUCAUCUUGCUCUAUUAUUAUGAAUCCCACAUCUUGUCCACCAAUUGUUCUCAUUUAAAGAUUUUGAAUUUUAUUUAGAUUUUUUGCCAUCUAUUUUGGUCCACAGAUUAGUUGAACGUUAUUGUCUUCACCUGAACAUUUACAAUUGCAUAUAAUUCUAUUUUAAUAAUAUAUUAUAUCGGGGAUAAGUUAAUAUCGAAUGAGUGAUAGAAUUAGAUAAGGGACAAAUUCAGAUCGAAAUGAUAGACAAGAUAAUAUGUUAUAACUGGAUCUUUUUGUUAUUUUGCAAUCGAAGGAAAAAAAGCAAUAAUCUGGAUUGGUGAAGACAAUAAUGUUCAACUAAUCUGCGGACCAAAAUAGAUGGUGAAAAAUCUAAAUAAAAUUCGAAAUCCUUAAAUGAAAAACAAUUGGUGGAUAAGAUGUGAGAUUCAUGAUAAUUUUGAAAGAUGAUGAAAUCGGGGACAAGAUCUAUAUACAACAGAAAAUUUCCAAUCGGGGACAAGAUCUGGAGACAAAAACGAAAGUUAUUUGUUUAGUCUCACGAAAUAUAAUGUUUAUUGGUUGAAGCGCACGUGUGUCGAGGGAAUAGAGAUUAAUAGAAAGAAAAAAUAAAUAGAGAGGUAAGAGAAAUAGAAAGGAGCGAUAAAUAAGAAAAUAAAUAUAGAGGGUAAAUUAGUAAUUUCAAUAGGAAAUGUCGUAGGAGUUAAAAGGGGAUUGGAAAUGUGGUAGAUUUUAUAAGAAAUUGAAAAAAAUGGUAAUUGAUGUAAUUUUCCCAAUUAUAAAGAAAAAUUCAUUCAAAUGCUCUUUUCAUGAUGCCCCUUUUCAACUCUACCUUUUCAUGAUGCCCCUUCUCAUUAUGUAGAUUUUUUUUUUUUUUU